ensembl:antisense 1700121C08Rik RIKEN cDNA 1700121C08 gene
AGUCAUUAUCUAGGGAAAGCAUCAGCCUAUGGAGGGCACAGGCGUUGUACAGACAGGUGGGAGGUGAGCUGUGGAAGGCUGAUCACUAGGCGCACAGGAGGGAGCUGAUGGAGAGUCACAGCAUGGUUGGCCUGGGCUGUUGGGGCUCUCGGCACACAGGCUUUGAGUCUAAGAACUCUCGUUAAGAGCCAGUGAAAUGGCUCUGAAUAGAAAAACAUUUGCCACACAAUUUGAUGACAGAAGCUGGAUCCCUGGCACUCAGCAGGAGAAAAAUGACUCCAAAAAGUUGUCAUCUGACCUCCCUAUGGGGGAUAACAACCUGCAUCCACCCCACCCCACCCCCAGUCUGAAUUUCUCAUCAGUCUCAACCUGGUGCUGAAGGAAUGGCUGAUUUCUAGAGUCACUUUAGUCCACGUUGAAGACAGAAAAGACUGGUUUCCACUGGCAGCAGAUGAUGGCAUCCACAGAGCCCGAACAGCAACAGUUAGAUAAACUUUUCCGCUGGAGACAAAGCUUCCUGUUACGAUUUAUGACGAAUUGCUGAUGAGUAGAUAUGCAUUUUGAGGACUUAAGAUCUUGGCAGAGAUUACAAGAAUGAAGCCAAGUACAUGAAGACUGUUCCUCGGCCAAGAACCUUCAUCUGGUUAUUGUCGUCAAAUAAAUCAAUAUAUGUUUAA